UACGUAGGGAGCAAGCGUUGUCCGGAUUUACUGGGUGUAAAGGGUGCGUAGGCGGCUUUGCAAGUCAGAAGUGAAAGGCAUGGGCUCAACCUGUGGACUGCUUUGGAAACUGUGCGGCUUGAGUGUCGGAGAGGCAAGUGGAAUUCCUAGUGUAGCGGUGAAAUGCGUAGAUAUUAGGAGGAACACCAGUGGCGAAGGCGGCUUGCUGGACGAUGACUGACGUUGAGGCUCGGAAGCGUGGGGAGCAAACAGG
rnacentral:rRNA from 1 species